UUUGUUUUAAUUAAAUCAUAGGCACUGUUUUUAAAGAAAUAAAUGUAAAGGAUCAAGAAACUGUAACGCUUUACAUUUGUUUAUUUUUGUUUAUAAGUUCAUAUGAUUAUAAGGUCUUAAUCAUAUUAAUUUUUAAUUAGUAUUAUGCGUUGUUAGUUUUUUUAUAUUAUAAAAAACAAUGAAAGAAGGUUUGCAAAAAUUUAUAAAUAUCUUUCGUUAGUUUUUCAUAUAUAAUUAUUGGUAUGAAAAAAGUAAAAAGUAGUGCUACUAAGAGAAGAGAAAAAGCUGCAGCCAGGGAAGAAAUCACAAAGUACCCUAACACUAACACGUUUUUUGAAACCAGCAGUUUAGUCUGGAAGUGUUUCGAUACCAACAGAAACUACAAAUAAUUCUGAUUGUCAUUAUUUGAGUACUAGAGUAGAGUUAUAUAGUUGAUAAGCGAGUCUACAUCAAAUAGCAUAACAAUUCCGCCUAUUUUUCUCAAUGAUGAUCCUUCUGAGUGGCUAGAUAAUGUUUCUGACGCACAGAGGUGUGACAUUGUUAAACGGGGUUUCAAAAAGAUUGAAAUUGAUUUUCCAUACAAUUUAGAAAGAAGACGGUUCUCAAUAAAUUAUUAUAAUCGCAAGAUGAAGAAUAGAGAAAUCUUUGAACGGACAUGGCUCAUAUAUUCUUUGAAUAGCAAUAAAGUGUUUUUUCUUAUCAAAGGUUGCAAUGAAAAUUCUCUGUCUGUAUAUUGCAAAAGUUUGCAAUUAAAGCUUAAUGAUAUAGAUUCUGAGGAUUUAGAAAUGGAGUUAAAACGAUUUGUCAUUGUUAUAAAGGAGGAAAAAAAUGCUUUUCUAAAAUCUGCACAUGAUUUCCUAAACUACAUCUACAAAGAAGAGUUGCAAGAAACUCAUCCCAAUCUAGUUAUUGUGUUACGAAUUACCAGUCACUGGUAAUUCAUAACACUUUACCAGUCACUGUUGCAAGUGCAGAACGCAGCUUCAGCAAGUUAAAACUAAUUAAAAAAAUUCAUAGGUUAUUAUAAAUAAUCUUGCUUAAUUAUACAUAAAUACAUGUAGCUAUAUUUCAUUGUAUCUUUAAAUAGGUCAACAAUGGUCGAAGAACGUUUGUCUUCCUUAGCAAUGCUGUCGAUUGAAAAUGAGGUUGCAAGAAAAUUAAAUUAUGAAGGCAUAAUAAAUGAGUUUGCAAGCAUGAAAACAUGUCGCAAACCCUUAUUUUGAUGAUUUGCGACUUGUAUUAUCUGCAUAAUAUAUUUACAUUAGUUAAAGAAACUCUAGACUAGUAAACUCUGUAUCAAUUUAACAGUUAUAAAAAAUAUCUAAUUGAAUUUAAGUAUUAAUUUGAUUGUUUUUAGUCUUAUGAACAGCGACGUUAAAAUAUGUUAGGUAGCCAGAUAUUUCAAAGUUAUCUGUAUUAAAAACACUUUUAAAAAAAAAAUAAUACAAAAUUGGGGCCCUAAUGACAUAUUUGGGGGGGGGGGGGCUAGACCCACUUGCCACAGCACUGUUUCUUUGAAUCUGCAUAUAAAAACUUUAUUAAAAUUUUUUUUGAAGAUGAUGGUAGUAGUGGGGGAACAUUUGUUGCCAAGUAUUUUUUUGGUAUUUAUGUCCGUUUUUUAACGCGUAAUAGAAACCAUGUAAUGUAGUUACUAAGGUGCUCCAAAAAGAGUUGACGGUCUUAUCACAAAGCAUA
rnacentral:lncRNA from 1 species